rnacentral:misc_RNA from 1 species
GAUGAAGACGUAGCGAAAUGCGAUACUUGGUGUGAAUUGCAGAAUCCCGUGAACCAUCGAGUCUUUGAACGCAAGUUGCGCCCGAAGCCAUCAGGUUGAGGGCUCGUCUGCCUGGGCGUCACAUAUCGUUGCCCAAUGCCUAUUGCAGUGCAAUAGGAAUUUCUAGGGCGAAUGAUGGCUUCCCGUGAGCGUUGUUGCCUCGCGGUUGGUUGAAAAUCGAGUCCUUGGUAGGGUGUGCCAUGGUAGAUGGUGGUCGAGUUAGAACGAUACCGAUCAUGUGCAUGCUCCCCAAAAUAUGGCCUCUAUGACCCACACGCGUCUUUUGACGCUCAUGACGAGACCUCAGGUCAGGCGGGGCUACCCGCUGAAUUUAAGCAUAUCAAUAAGCGGAGGA